GGUUGUAGCUCAGUGGCAGAGCACUUGCCUAGAAUGUGUGAGGCACUGGGUUCGAUCCUCAGGACCA
rnacentral:tRNA from 1 species